AUUGAACGCUGGCGGCAGGCCUAACACAUGCAAGUCGAACGGUAACAGGAAGAAGCUUGCUUCUUUGCUGACGAGUGGCGGACGGGUGAGUAAUGUCUGGGAAACUGCCUGAUGGAGGGGGAUAACUACUGGAAACGGUAGCUAAUACCGCAUAACGUCGCAAGACCAAAGAGGGGGACCUUCGGGCCUCUUGCCAUCGGAUGUGCCCAGAUGGGAUUAGCUAGUAGGUGGGGUAACGGCUCACCUAGGCGACGAUCCCUAGCUGGUCUGAGAGGAUGACCAGCCACGCUGGGAAAGAGACACGAGCCAGAGUCAGCAGGGAGGCACCAGGGGGGGUUAAUGAACACGGGGCGCGAGACUGAUGCUGCCAUGACGCGGGUAUGAAGAAGUCAUUCUGGUUGUAAAGUACUUUCAGCGGGGAGGAAGGGAGUAAAGUUAAUACCUUCGCUCAUUGAGGUUACCCGAAGAAGAAGAACCGGCUAGCUCCGUC
rnacentral:rRNA from 1 species